rnacentral:tRNA from 1 species
GCGAUGGUGGUAUAGUGGUGAGCAUAGCUGUCUUCCAAGCAGUUGACCCGGGUUCGAUUCCUGGGCAUCGCA